GACAGUUUGGCCGAAUGGUCUAAGGCGCCAGAUUUAGGCUCUGGUCCGAAAUGGCGUGGCUUCAAAUCCCACAGCUGUCA
rnacentral:tRNA from 1 species